UACGUAGGGUGCGAGCGUUGUCCGGAAUUACUGGGCGUAAAGAGCUCGUAGGUGGUUUGUCGCGUUGUUCGUGAAAUUCCCUGGCUUAACUGGGGGCGUGCGGGCGAUACGGGCAGACUGGAGUACUGCAGGGGAGACUGGAAUUCCUGGUGUAGCGGUGGAAUGCGCAGAUAUCAGGAGGAACACCAAUGGCGAAGGCAGCUCGCUGGGACGGUACUGACGCUGAGACGCGAAAGCGUGGGGAGCAAACAG
rnacentral:rRNA from 1 species